rnacentral:rRNA from 1 species
AGAGUUUGAUCCUGGCUCAGGACGAACGCUGGCGGCGUGCUUAACACAUGCAAGUCGAGCGGUAAGGCCUUCGGGUACACGAGCGGCGAACGGGUGAGUAACACGUGGGUGAUCUGCCUCGCACUUCGGGAUAAGCCUGGGAAACUGGGUCUAAUACCGGAUAUGACCUUCCAGUGCAUGCUGGUUGGUGGAAAGAUUUAUCGGUGCGAGAUGGGCCCGCGGCCUAUCAGCUUGUUGGUGAGGUAACGGCUCACCAAGGCGACGACGGGUAGCCGACCUGAGAGGGUGACCGGCCACACUGGGACUGAGACACGGCCCAGACUCCUACGGGAGGCAGCAGUGGGGAAUAUUGCACAAUGGGCGAAAGCCUGAUGCAGCGACGCCGCGUGGAGGAUGACGGCCUUCGGGUUGUAAACUCCUUUCGACAGGGACGAAGCGCAAGUGACGGUACCUUUA